rnacentral:rRNA from 1 species
GACGGAGGAUGCAAGCGUUAUCCGGAAUGAUUGGGCGUAAAGCGUCCGCAGGUGGCAGUUCAAGUCUGCUGUCAAAGACCGGGGCUUAACUUCGGAAAGGCAGUGGAAACUGAACAGCUAGAGUAUGGUAGGGGCAGAGGGAAUUCCUGGUGUAGCGGUGAAAUGCGUAGAUAUCGUAAGGAAGACCAGUGGCGAAGGCGGGUCUCUGGACAGUUCCUGACGCUGAGGCACGAAGGCCAGGGGAGCAAACGGG